CUACGGGUUGCAGCAGUGAGGAAUAUUGCACAAUGGGGGGAACCCUGAUGCAGCAACGCCGCGUGGAGGAUGACGCAUUUCGGUGUGUAAACUCCUUUUAUAUGUCAAGAAAAUGACGGUAGCAUAUGAAUAAGCACCGGCUAACUCCGUGCCAGCAGGCCGCGGUAAUACGGAGGGUGCAAGCGUUACUCGGAAUCACUGGGCGUAAAGGGCGCGUAGGCGGGUUGGAAAGUCAGGUGUGAAAUCCUACAGCUUAACUGUAGAACUGCACUUGAAACUUCUAAUCUAGAGUAUGGGAGGGGGAGAUGGAAUUAGUGGUGUAGGGGUAACAUCCGUAGAUAUCACUAGGAAUACCUAAAGCGAAGGCGAUCUCCUGGAACAUUACUGACGCUAAGGCGUGAAAGCGUGGGGAGCAAACAGGAUUAGAUACCCGAGUAGUC
rnacentral:rRNA from 1 species